AACGCACAUUGCGCCUCUUGGUAUUCCGAGGGGCAUGUCUGUUUGAGCGUCAGUACCAACUCCCUCCCCGCUCCUGGCCAUCACCGGCCGGGGCGGCGGCGGAGGGGUCUUGGGGAGCAGGGGGCGGGCGGCAACGUCCGCCCCCCCUCCCCUAAUGUGGCACGCUUGCGGACCCCGGGCAGAGCCUGACGUAGUAAAACACCUCUCGUCGGUCGAAGCCUUUGCGGGAGCCGCCUCUGGGAACCAGAAAACUUCUUCAUUGCAGUUUUGACCUCAGAUCAGACAAGGAUACCCGCUGAACUUAA
rnacentral:misc_RNA from 1 species